rnacentral:rRNA from 1 species
GAUGGGCUCGCGGCCUAUUAGUUAGUUGGUGAGGUAACGGCUCACCAAGGCGAUGACGGGUAGCCGGUCUGAGAGGAUGUCCGGCCACACUGGAACUGAGACACGGUCCAGACACCUACGGGAGGCAGCAGUGAGGAAUAUUGGUCAAUGGACGCAAGUCUGAACCAGCCAUGCCGCGUGCAGGAAGACGGCUCUAUGAGUUGUAAACUGCUUUUGUACGAGGGUAAACUCACCUACGUGUAGGUGACUGAAAGUAUCGUACGAAUAAGGAUCGGCUAACUCCGUGCCAGCAGCCGCGGUAAUACGGAGGAUUCAAGCGUUAUCCGGAUUUAUUGGGUUUAAAGGGUGCGUAGGCGGUUUGAUAAGUUAGAGGUGAAAUCCCGGGGCUUAACUCCGGAACUGCCUCUAAUACUGUUAGACUAGAGAGUAGUUGCGGUAGGCGGAAUGUAUGGUGUAGCGGUGAAAUGCUUAGAGAUCAUACAGAACACCGAUUGCGAAGGCAGCUUACCAAACUAUAUCUGACGUUGAGGC